rnacentral:rRNA from 1 species
UACAGAGGUCUCAAGCGUUGUUCGGAUUCAUUGGGCGUAAAGGGGUGCGUAGUGGCGCUGUAAGUCGGGUGUGAAAAUUUCGGAGCUUAACUCCGAAACUGCAUUCGAUACUGCGGUGCUUGAGGACUGGAGAGGAGACUGGAAUUCAUGGUGUAGCAGUGAAAAUGCGUAGAGAUCAUGAGGAAGACCAGUGGCGAAGGCGGGGUCUCUGGACAGUUCCUGACACUGAGGCACGAAGGCCAGGGGGAGCAAAACGGGG